AAAAAAAAAAGAAAAAAAAUGUUAUGCGAACGAAGCAAUUGGUCGUUCAUUUUUUCUUCUAGGACAUCAACAAUCAGGUGCUAAAACAAGCUCGAUCCGUUGCUACGAACGUAUCCUGGAGCCGCUUUAGACGUCGUUUUAGUAGGAAAUCCCUCUAACAAGGAUGCUGUUGGAAGUGGCCAUAUUCAAUUCGGUCGGAAAAUAGAGAGCAACGUUAAUUCGACGACACACGUCUUGAGCUAACUUCCUGCUGGACGUUUCGUCCAAUGGUACAAGUGUGGCUGUUUUGGCCAUGUGGUACUCAAUAAUAACACGUGUGGUUUGCUCGGUUGAUAACUAUCAAGUGCUCUCUUUAUUCUGUGCUCAUCGCACUCUCGGAUGCUGUGUUCGAUGACACAGCACCAAUACUUAUCUAACGAUCGCUAUCGUUAGAAGCUCACUACCACAGGCCACAUCCAGCUACACUGUAAGCCGUGGUAUAAACAGUACAUUGCUGAUCCUUGCUGCAAGGACACGCACAAUAUCCGGAAGAUUGACAAUAACCGAUCUUACGGCGAGACACGCAAAGCUCUAUUUAAUUCGGAGAUUUGUAAGGCUCAAGGCCUCGCACCAGCGUAUUACGUAAACACUCGAGAAAUUUGCUGAAAUGAAGAAAUGGUUGAAAUAACCUGAAUUGUCCGAUCAAUGUAGAGUGGAAUUAUUGUGUUUGGAAAUAAAAAAAAAGUUCAAUAUACAAAACUAGA